rnacentral:rRNA from 1 species
ACUGCUCAGUAACACGUGGACAACCUGCCCUUAGGUUGGGUAUAAACCCGGGAAACUGGGUAUAAUACCCGAUAGGUCUCGAUUGCUGGAAUGCAUCGAGAUUUAAAGCUCCGGCGCCUAAGGAUGGGUCUGCGGCCUAUCAGGUAGUAGUGGGUGUAGCGUACCUACUAGCCUACGACGGGUACGGGUUGUGAGAGCAAGAGCCCGGAGAUGGAUUCUGAGACACGAAUCCAGGCCCUACGGGGUGCAGCAGGCGCGAAAACUUUACAAUGCUGGCAACAGCGAUAAGGGAACCUCGAGUGCCAGGUUACAAAUCUGGCUGUCGAGAUGCCUAAAAAGCAUUUCAUAGCAAGGGCCGGGCAAGACCGGUGCCAGCCGCCGCGGUAACACCGGCGGCUCGAGUGGUAACCGUUAUUAUUGGGUCUAAAGGGUCUGUAGCCGGCCGGAUAAGUCUCUUGAGAAAUCUGGCAGCUUAACUGUCAGGCUUUCAGGAGAUACUGUCUGGCUCGAGGCCGGGAGAGGUGAGAGGUACUUCAGGGGUAGGGGUAAAUCUUGUAAUCCUUGAAGGACCACCAGUGGCGAAGGCGUCUCACCAGAACGGACCUGACGGCAAGGGACGAAAGCUAGGGGCACGAACCGGAUUAGAUACCCGGGUAGUCCUAGCCGUAAACGAUACUCGCUAGGUGUCGGCCACGGUGCGACCGUUGUCGGUGCCGUAGGGAAGCCGUGAAGCGAGCCACCUGGGAAGUACGGCCGCAAGGCUGAAACUUAAAGGAAUUGGCGGGGGAGCAC